rnacentral:lncRNA from 1 species
UAAUUUGGCAUAUAUAUCUUAUUAGACAUUGUUGUUGACAUAAACUAUCAAAAAAAUUUGCUGCCCAUGGUAGUUCUCAAUCUCAUUCAAGGAAAUGAGAUGCAGGAGCAGGUCUGAUAUUAAAUGAGCUGGAGCUGUCAUGUUCUGCUUGUCGUGAACUAUUAAAAACUUCAUCAACUUCAUGCUGACCUGCUUAAAUAUGCCUGCAAGGAGAGAUAUUUCUCUUAUGGUUCCAGUUUUGGGGCCUUGUUCAUGUGAUGGCAUGAGACGACAACAAACAUAGCCCCAUAAAUCAGGGCAUCUGUUGGCAAAUGUUCAAAAUAACCAGCCAGUGAUAAUUCAUGAGAAGAAAGGCACAAAUGAGAAAAAUGAAAUAAUUGUUUCUCAAUGUUUUUUUUUUUGCGUGGUUCGAUCAUGGAGGCAAUUGUAGUAACAAUAGAAAUCAACAAGCGAUGAUAUUUUUAUGAGUUCUAAAUUAUUCUUCCCUGUAGUAACUUGUUGUCUUGAAUAAAUUUCUACCAGAAAAAAAUGAGAGAAUUAUUGGGGUACCGAAAAUUCAACCAAGGUUUUGAAUAUCAGUCCCUAUGACCUUUACCAAUUAUAACAGCAAUUAUUUUAUAUGUAGAAAAUUCAGUCCAGAGUUUGAGUUUUAUAGAUAAAAAUUAUUAUAUUUACACAAUAAAAAAGGGGCCCUUCAUAAGAAAUAUUGGCAGUAGUUAUCUAAACAUUGCAUUCCUUGGACAUAGAAAGGAUCAACAAAAUAUUUUGACUAAUGUUGCUGUCCCUGUUACCAACCAUGCAACUAGAGUUUGUUUAACCCAAAUCUAGAGAACCUAAUAUUCUCCAUCCAGACAGCCAAUUUUUACUGAAAUUAGGUUGGUUUUUACAUUUAAAAAAUUCCAACACAUGCGGGUCGGGUUUUGCUCGAGGAAUCGAACACUCCGACCCGGGCAUACGGUUCUGCUUCGACCUCAUAUGAUUUCAUCCAACCAUGGCUGCCAAACCUAAUCCCAGAACCAGGCAUAAUGGAGGCUUUGAACAAAACCACAUCAUGUUGCAGUUAGAUCUAAUACAACUAAACCAAGCUCAAUCCCUUAGUUGUGUUUGGACUCCAAGUUGAGAGUUGGGCUGUGCUUAGGUUUGGGUAGUGGGGUUCAUUGGAUACCCUUGAGCACCUGUGACGUUAUACCCUAAAAAAAUUCUGGUCAGAUCCAAUCCCACUAACUCAUAUCUUUAACUACUAAAAGCCAAGGCUGUCAUCAUUGGGCAGGCAAAAUUUUUUGAUCCUUUGAAAGAUUUUGUGGGCGAGAUAAGACGAUUUUUAGCUUAUUUUAACCCAAAAAGAAGUCUUAACCUUGAAUCAUGGAAAGGAAAGCGAACAAAGAACCAGUGCUCAGCAUCAACGGCGCAUCCACUUUUCAUUUCACCCGUACAAACGAUGGCAAGAAACUGAGUGUAACGAGUGCGUGGUGCUUUAGUGUUCUUACUUUUAAUUUGAGGAAAUAUUUCAAUACCAAAUUGUGGAAAGAAGCUUGAGUAAAUAGCUAAAAACUCUAUUUUUUUGAAAAAAAUUUAUUCCCAAUAAAUUUCAGACCUUGAGAUUAGCAUAAGCCGAGUUGGAUGAGGUGGCUGAGGUGUCGAAGAUUGAUCUCUCCAGAGAUGGUCUGCAAGAAGUCCGCUUGGUGAAGAGUUUCCGGCGGAAGACCCCCUAAUGCUUAGUUAAGAUAAAGAAGUAACAGCAGAAGAAAGGAAUUUCAGCAGAGUCG